rnacentral:rRNA from 1 species
UACGAAGGGGGCGAGCGUUGUUCGGAUUUACUGGGCGUAAAGGGCGCGCAGGCGGCUCAUUUUGUCAGGCGUGAAAGCCCCGGGCUUAACCUGGGAACUGCGUUUGAUACGGAUGGGCUAGAGUUCGGGAGAGGAGAGUGGAAUUCCCAGUGUAGAGGUGAAAUUCGUAGAUAUUGGGAAGAACACCGGUGGCGAAGGCGGCUCUCUGGACCGAUACUGACGCUGAGGCGCGAAGGCGUGGGGAGCAAACAGG